ACUUUAAUGACUGAAGCAGCUUAGCAUUUCUAGUACACGUAAACACUUAAAUAGCACAUUACCUCAGUGAACAUGGUAAGCGAUAACAUAUUAUUUCAGUCCAUAAUUGCAAUAAAAGGCAUGCUAGGUGUCAAAGCCUUUAAUAUAUCGUAGACAAGACACCACAGGUGAGUAAGGUACACAUUUAAACUAAUAGAUAUCACCAUACUUCCCUAGUUGUUUAAUUACAGUAGACAAUUUCUGAAAUGUCAUGUCUAAAUAUGCAAAUCAAACAUUAUCUAAUUAAAUACGCAUAUAUUUGCAUAAAUGUACAUAACAGAAAACAAUAAAGUCUUAAAUGUGUAUUUUUGAUAUUUUCUUUGCACUACUCUGAAAGAAAACAUGUUAUGGAAA